rnacentral:rRNA from 1 species
AUUGAACGCUGGCGGAAUGCUUUACACAUGCAAGUCGAACGGUAGAGGGGGCAACCCCUUGAGAGUGGCGAACGGGUGAGUAAUAUAUCGGAACGUGCCCAGUCGUGGGGAUAACGUAGCGAAAGUUACGCUAAUACCGCAUACGAUCUAAGGAUGAAAGCGGGGGAUCGCAAGACCUCGCGCGAUUGGAGCGGCCGAUAUCAGAUUAGGUAGUUGGUGAGGUAAAGGCUCACCAAGCCGACGAUCUGUAGCUGGUCUGAGAGGAUGAUCAGCCACACUGGGACUGAGACACGGUCCAGACUCCUACGGGAGGCAGCAGUGGGGAAUAUUGGACAAUGGGCGCAAGCCUGAUCCAGCAAUGCCGCGUGCAGGAUGAAGGCCUCGGUUGUAACUA